CCUACGGGACGCAGCAGUGAGGAAUAUUGGUCAAUGGGCUUACGCCUGAACCAGCAAAGUCGCGUCAGGGAAGACUGCCCUAUGGGUUGUAAACCUCUUUUGUCAGGGGGCAACGCCGGCUACGUGGAGCCGGACUGAGAGUAACUGAAGAAAAAGCAUCGGCGAACUCCGUGCCAGCAGCCGCGGUAAUACGGAGGAUGCAGACGUUAUCCGGAUUUAUGGGGUUUAAAGGGUGCGUAGGCGGAAUGCCAAGUCAGCGGUAAAAUCGCGGGGCUCAACCUCGCUCCGCCGUUGAAACUGGCGUUCUUGAGUGGGCGAGAAGUAUGCGGAAUGCGUGGUGUAGCGGUGAAAUGCAUAGAUAUCACGCAGAACUCCGAUUGCGAAGGCAGCAUACCGGCGCCCAACUGACGCUGAAGCACGAAAGCGUGGGUAUCGAACAGGAUUAGAUACCCGGGUAGUC
rnacentral:rRNA from 1 species